rnacentral:lncRNA from 1 species
UGUCAAUUUGUCUGUUUUAAUUUAUUAAAACGAGUUUACAUAGAUUAAAAUCACUUAUACCAAGUCUUGCUUUUACUGUUCUUGCUUUUGAAACUAAAACACUUUGCCUACUAAGAGAGACUCUAACCUGAGAUUAAAAACACUUCUUGGAGCCUUCUUGCUUUAAUCUUUGGUUCAAAGCCUUGGUUUAAGAACUUCACAUUGUAAUAACCUUUAUAUCUUUUCUUCUCUAUUGUGU